AGUUGGUCCGAAGGUUGUGGGUUAUCGUUAUUGAUUUAAUAUUGUCUCCCCCCACACCCCCUCUUGACUAGCUUUGUUUUUU
rnacentral:Y_RNA from 10 species